AGGUCCAGAUAUGAAUCAAAGGAACAUGGAAAGAUAUACUCCAAGAACUAUGAAAAUAAUUGGAUGUACAGAAGGAAGAUUAAGGAAUUAAUAUUUUAUGAUUUUUCUAUCAGUGAGGCUCCAUGACUUCGUAUCAGCCUAUCCUAAUCUGUUAUGACUGGCAUCUUUAUAAGAAGAGGAAAGACACACAUGGGGAGAAGAUGGCCAUGUGACAACUGAGCAGAUAUUGGACUGAUGGAUCUGUAAGUCAAGGAAAACCAAGGAUUGCUGGCAAACACAGAAGCUAGAAGAGGCAAAGAAGGUUUCUUCCCUGCAGGUUUCAGAGGGAGCAUGGCCCUGCCAACACCUUGAAUUCAGACUUCUGCUCUUCAGAACUGUGACAUAGAAGGGGUACCUGUCCUCUAGAAGGUUCCUGCCACAUUCCACUGAGAGUGCUGAAAAAAACCUUCAUUUGUGCAUCUAUUCCUUCUUCCAAUUAGACAUGACAACCAGGAAAGGUCCUCUCUGGCACUAAGGAGCAAAACCACUAAAUACAGAAAAGCCGACUCGGAUCAGCAAGACUUUCGAAGAAAGAUGUUGAUCAAAAGAGGGAAAUGUGAAAAUUAACAAAGGGAAACCUCACUGAUUAGGGCAUCAGGAGACCAGCAGGAGGAGCUCUCACACACAUCACUCCUGGACAAUUGCAGACCCCACGAAAAGAGUUGCAAAUCAUACUGUUUUAUGUUUCAGCUACUUUACUUCCCAGCAGGAGGAAGGAGGGUUUCUGCCCCCCCGCAACAGCCCAGCCUGAGAGACCGUCACAACUCACCCGAUGAGAAACCACAAUACACAGAACUCGCAUUUUCCACCAAUAGACUUUUUGUUUAGGACAGCCCUCCCAAUUCAGUCCUUUCUAUAGAAGAGCAUUCUUUAUUCUCCAGACUUGACUAUGGCCUUGCUAUAGCUUGCCUGACCUGAAUUGCAAUUCUCUGUUAUUCCUGAAUGAAUCCAUUUUUGCGGGUAAAACAACUGACAAUUUUAAAGGUUAACAGGGAAAUGGAUGACAACCACAAUUUCUCUGAACAACAAUGAGAAGAACAAAUCUGGGGUCAAAAGUUAUCUUAAUAUAU